rnacentral:lncRNA from 1 species
CUCACCCCCCACCCCCCAACAGGCUCUGGUGUUUGUGUUUCCCCUCUUUGUGUCCAUGUAUUCUCAUUGUACAACUCCUAGUAGCAAGAGGUAAUGCAGUUAUAGUCAUUUUUCUAAGUGUAAACUGAUUGGUUAUAAUAUAAUAUAUAUUUUACUGUCAUUGUCCUUCUGUGUAAAGUGUACAGGGCUUUUGUAUUAAUAUAAAGUGAAAGAAGAGAGAAAUAAGAGAUUAGAUAAUCAGGCAGAUCCCGAAUUUCUACAUUUCUACUCUGGAUUGAGAGGAACAAAGUAUGUUUGGGGAAAUGAGGAGAGGAGUAAGCGCAUACAGUGGUUUAGCAUUCUCCUCCAGCUUCUGGAAAUUACGAAAAGAAUCCACAUUUCAAGCUUCUCUAUGUUAAUCUAGGAUGCAAUCCAGAUGAGAUUAGACUAAGGUAGAGU